CAUCCCCGAGCUCCUCCCUGUCUCACCCGCCCCUCAUGUGCCUCACCCUCAGGCCAACAGCCUAGGAGGCAUCCAAAAAAUGGGGCAGCUCAGGCUGCCUUUAACCUCUCUCUUGUGCCGUCCUUGGCCCUCCGUCUCCACUUGCCGGACGCCUGAGGAUGCUAAAGCCUUUCCCGCUGCACGACCGUGUCCAUCCGGACGGCGCUUGAAGCUCAGGCUCAGGUGUCAGCUCCCUUAAAGGCCCCGUGGGCUUGGGUCUGGGAAGCGAGCCCAGGCCAGGACGUGCCCCGCAGGAGGGAAAAAGGACUUACUUGUCCACCAGGACGACUGGCUCCUGAAGAAGAACCCUGAAAAAAAGAUGGGAACCACAUCAUAAAAACCAAACCAUAAACUGGCAGAGGUCUUUUCAACUGGGAUAUGGACAUUAUUCUUAAUGUCCAAUUUUGGAGGAAGGAAUCCUUGGGUCAAAAGCAUGGGAAAUUAGUUUGCACCCAUCUACUAGAAAGAUUGCCUUCAGAGGGAGAGGGAUGUCACAUCAGCUCUUCCGUGUUAGGGGAUAUUAGAGGAGCAUUUGUUUGGAAAAAAAAGGUAAAUUUGGCAUAG
rnacentral:lncRNA from 1 species